AUCCAGCUGACGAGUCUCAAAUAGGACCAAACACGCGACAAACUGGAU
rnacentral:hammerhead_ribozyme from 1 species